GUGUCAUUUAUCGCUUCCUCUCAUCUUUCCCCACCUGCUUUUGCUCAUUUCAGAAGAUGAAGAUGGGCAGGAGACAAUCCAGUGCCUGUGUUGAUGUAACAGAUGAGAUGCCUGUGCACUGAAAACACCCCAACUGGGCCGGUCUGCGGGAGAAGCGCCAGGGUCCACCGCACACGCUCUUCAUGUCAGACUUAGCUAAAGUUGCCCUAAUCCCUAAUUUCUGUCUGUCUUGGUUUAAACAGAUUGAUUACACCCCUCACAAGCUCCCAGCCCUUUUCACAUUCUUUGAUAUCUAAUUGCCCCUCUUCUCUACAACCUCCUACCCCUUUCCUAUUGCCCCCUCUUUUCCCAGGACAUCCGGAAAGGGAAACCACAAUAACAUUUCACCAGAGACUCAGUCAAUAUUAUUCCUUGACAUCUUCAAAGCAGGACAGAGGAUAUUGGAGCCCAAGCAAGAGAUGGGUGGAGGGGACUGUCAGCGGCUGACGGAGAUGCCCGGCAACAGAAGUGAACAUGAAGUGGUGAGAAGAGGCGUGGAGAGGAGGGGAGAACAUGCCCCGGGACAAAGAGCUGCUUGUCUGAGGCCCGUCUGCCACCAGCCUGCAUUGUAGGACCCGCUGCCACUCGUUUGAGGGGGACCCCAAGAUAAAUUCCCCCUACUUGACUCUGUCGCACCGUCUGCCACUUGGACAAUAACUGAGGUCACAGCAGGAAGUGGAGUGCUGACAUCAAUGCCUGCAGGGGUCACUUUCUCUCAGCUCUUGCAUUUUUUGUCACAUUUUUACACUUUAAAGAAUGGAGCAGGACGUAGCAUAAAUAUUUCCCAGUCCUCUAUAAUCUAAACAGUACAUUUAUGGCCAUUAAUCAUACAAGCCCAUGACCCUGCAAGACCUUUUCAUUACAUUUUUUUAAACAGAAAAGGACAGAGAUGAAUGCAGUCCCUCUGAGAAGGAAGCACGUGGCAGCAUUUGAUGUAUCGUUCAUUUAUGUUUACCAAAUGACUUUGCUGAAAAUUUGGUAAAACGAUCUUCUGAGCUGCCAGCAUUAAGAUGCAGCAACAUUUAAAAUCCAGACAUUACCUCAUUUUCCUUUAAUUAAAAAGGUUGCACAGUAUUUGGACAAUGAAAGACAAGAGGAGCAAUUUCCCUAUGAAUUUAAUUCUGAUAAUCUUCUGAUUUAUUUUCAAAGCGUCCCCAGUUUUCUUUCAAUUAUGAUUAUUAUGUUUUUAGCCCAAAUAAAAAAGCUGUGUGUUUUAGGACUUAGUUUCUGCAGAGCGACCGGAGUUCAUCAAAAAUUCAAAGAGAACCUGGCUGCAGACAACAAGAUGGCACCCUGACAUCCUUAACUAGAGCCAGAAGUUUGGGACGGGAAGUUCAUGACCCAUCCAUCCCCAUUUCAGUUGAAAAAUACUUUUUUUUUGGUUGAAAAAGACAAAUUUCCCCGGAGUCCCUAACUAAGAGUUGUGCCUUUUUCCGUUUUAACGUCGGAGAUGUUAAAAAUCGGAGAUGUCUCUGUCAAAACCCACUAUUCUUUGACCGUCAGGCUGUUCGCCAUCAAUGUGAAUCAGUCAGCUAAUCGGCAGAGAAAAGCGGCUUUUCACUGCUAAGUAACACAUUUAAUUAGUAAAGUGUUUCAUAUCAGCACAAAGCCACUUUCAUCCAUUUAUUCACAUAAAGUUUUAAUAAAAGGUGCUACAAUUCUGAAAUCUUGUGGAAUUUCUGCUUCUGGUCAAUGAUGCCUGCAAACCAGGUCGCCCUCAGAAAUUCACCUUUGAGGUGUGGGCGGGACUGUUUGGUGAGUCAAAACCUGACCUGACUUCCCAUCAUCCCUUUGUGUACAAGCUUAAAGGCCAUCACGCCCCCAACCUAACGUUAGCGAUGCAACAAAAAUGGUAAACAAUUUUGGAGCUAUCCAGCCGUUUAGGCCCAGAUUCCAGCUCAGAUGGUGAAAACAAAGACACACUUGCAUCUAUUUGUCUGCAAGUGGAUGCAUUAGGAUGGAGCCUGUGGCCCUCGGUCACUAAACUGCAUGUUUUGCUUCUGCUCCUGAUUCACAAAGGUUUGAAUUAAGAAAUACUCAAAAACGGCUAUUUGAGCUUCAUUUUCUUAAUAUACGUCCUCCAUCAUCAGGAAAAAGGCCACACAAACACGUUUUUUUUUUUAUCAAAGUGGGUCUUUCAUGGGAUAAAUGCCUCCAACCUGCAACACUUGAACCAAAGGAGAACUCUACUGCAAAAAAAUUGUUCUCCAGAAGCUUUCAGUUCAUGUUGGUGUUUCAGCAACAUAAGAAAAAUCCAUCUAUCAUAAAAGAACUGUGAAAGACUCAAGGAGAAGUUAAUAAAAACAUUUCCCUCCUCCGCAGUUCUUCUGCGUCUGUCUUUGGGGGCUUUGCUCACGCAAACCUGUCAUCCCCAUCUCAACCUGC
ensembl:lncRNA